UACGUAGGGUGCGAGCGUUGUCCGGAUUUAUUGGGCGUAAAGAGCUCGUAGGCGGUUUGUCGCGUCGGCCGUGAAAUCUCCACGCUUAACGUGGAGCGUGCGGUCGAUACGGGCAGACUUGAGUUCGGUAGGGGAGACUGGAAUUCCUGGUGUAGCGGUGAAAUGCGCAGAUAUCAGGAGGAACACCGGUGGCGAAGGCGGGUCUCUGGGCCGAUACUGACGCUGAGGAGCGAAAGCGUGGGAGCGAACAGG
rnacentral:rRNA from 1 species